UACGUAGGCAGCAAGCGUUGUUCGGAGUUACUGGGCGUAAAGGGUGCGUAGGCGGCCCUGUAAGUAUGGUGUGAAAUCUCCCGGCUUAACUGGGAGGGUGCGCUAUAGACUGCGGGGCUCGAGUGUGGGAGAGGAAAGUGGAAUUCCUGGUGUAGCGGUGAAAUGCGUAGAUAUCAGGAGGAACACCGGUGGUGUAAACGGCUUUCUGGACCAUAACUGACGCUGGAGGCACGAAAGCGUGGGUAGCAAACAGG
rnacentral:rRNA from 1 species